UACGACGUAGCUCAGUUGGUUAGAGCACAUCACUCAUAAUGAUGGGGUCACAGGUUCGAAUCCCGUCGUAGCCACCA
rnacentral:tRNA from 1 species